rnacentral:rRNA from 1 species
AUUGAACGCUGGCGGCAGGCCUAACACAUGCAAGUCGAACGGUAACAGGGAUCCGCUUGCUGAUUCGCUGACGAGUGGCGGACGUGUGUGUAAUGUCUGGGAAACUGCCGGAUGGAGGGGGAUCACUACUGGAAACGGUAGCUAAUACCGCAUAACGUCGCAAGCCCAAAGAGGGGGACCUUCGGGCCUCUUUCCAUCGGAUGUGCCCAGAUGGGAUUAGCUAGUAGGUGGGGUAACGGCUCACCUAGGCGACGCUCGCAAGCUGGUCUGAGAGGAUGACCAGCCACACUGGAACUGAGACACGGUCCAAACUCCUACGGGAGGCAGCGGUGGGAAUUAUUGCACAGUGGGCGCAAGCCUGAUGCAGCCAUGCCGCGGGUAUGAAGAAGGCCUUCGGUUUGUAAAGUACUUUCAGCGGGGAGGAAGGGAGUGAGGUUAAUACCUUUGCUCAUUGACGUUACCCGCAGAAGAAGCACCGGCAAACUCGUU